UUUGAGAGUUCGUUAAACGGAUGCCAAAGUACUAUAGUUUGUGAUUUCGGUAAAUGGAAUCCAAAGUGUUACACUUUGUGAAAUUCGUUAAGGUUCGAAUCUCGUGACUACCGUUAAGGUUUGAUUUGGGUUUUACACAAAUACGUAUUCCAUUCUGUUAAACUAUAUGUUUAACUACCAAAAAUACUCCCAACUACACACUCACCAUCAAACAAACUAUUAAAUCAUCAGAAGAUCCAGAAUAAUAAAGUGCAUGCUUAAUUAUCGGAAGAAGUAGAAUCAAGAAGCUUGGUAACUCAAUCUUACAUGCUUAUAAAGUAAUUACAGUAGAUUGGAGUAAGGAUUGGAUCCAGCACUGAAGGACUUCAAGAAGUGGCUUAUUUUAUUAAUUA
rnacentral:lncRNA from 1 species